UCUUGCACUGAGGGCUAGUCAAACAACGACGUCAGGCAACAAGUGGGAUUUGUCGCACUUCACGUCCGUCAAAGUCACUGGCUAAGCUCCAGUGUAGAGAGCUCUUUUUGCACGCGCAGGUGAUAAUGAGCUCACGGGAAUUUCAUUAGCAAGCCAGCUAGGCUAGUGAAGAAAUCUGAUUUAAGAUGAUUUUCAUGCAAGAACAUGUAUCAACAAAGUCUAGGUCACCUCUAUUGAUGCUGGAACUUGCGAUGCGAAGCUAGCGCAUAAAAGGGAAAGGAUGGAGAGAGGAAAAUUGGAAAUCAGCACUUAGCGCCUGAAUAAAGUUUUAAUGUCUUCCAUGA